CCUACGGGAGGCAGCAGUGAGGAAUAUUGGUCAAUGGACGAGAGUCUGAACCAGCCAAGUAGCGUGAAGGAUGACUGCCCUAUGGGUUGUAAACUUCUUUUAUAAAGGAAUAAAGCGAGGCACGUGUGCCUUUUUUCAUGGACUUUAUGAAUAAGGAUCGGCUAACGCCGUUCCAGCAGCCGCGGUAAUACGGAGGAUCCGAGCGUUAUCCGGGUUUAUUGGGUUUAAAGGGGGCGGAGAUGGGGUGUUAAGUCAGUUGUGAAAGUUUGGGGCUGAACCCUAAAAUUGCCAUUGAAACUGGCAGUCUUGAGUAGAGUUGAGGUAGGCGGAAUUCGUGGUGUAGCGGUGAAAUGCUUAGAUAUCACGAAGAACCCCGAUUGCGAAGGCAGCUUACUAAGCUGUGACUGACACUGAUGCACGAAAGUGUGGGGAUCAAACAGGAUUAGAUACCCGGGUAGUC
rnacentral:rRNA from 1 species